GCUUUAUCAGUUGUAGUUUAUACUAAAAUUUUCCCUCUAAUAAAUGCUCCAAAAGCCUCUGGAGAAAAUUCCAGUCUCUCCUGAAGUAGAACCACAUGCCUGACAUGUUGUAAGGCCAAGAGGCUGGUUAGGAGCUCUCCACAGGCAGGCACCAUGGCUGGUGCACAGGCUGCUGUACCAGCUGUCGAGUUACAGUUCUAACUCUCAAAUUUAAGGGACUCUGUCCCUACUUGCAGCCCUUUUCCCAACACUUCAUUCUCUUGGGAGAGAUUUUCCAGCUUUCCCAAAAUGGCAUGAUCAUUGGACCUUGACAGCUGCUCCUUUAACAACCCCUAUGCAUCUGACCACUGACCUUCUGGCUUCCUGUGCAUCUGUUGUUGGUCAAAAAGAUCAAUCUAAGCAUGUGGAGGACCUUACUGGAUGCACUUUAUUUGGCACUAAUUAGCUCCUUCCAGUACAACUAAUCAAAUACACACGUAUACACAGGUCCUCUGUUACUACUAAUUUUAAUUAACAUUUUUGUGAGUGAUAGGUGAAGAAAUUUCUGUUAUUAAUUAGUGGAAGAGCAUCUCUUGUGAAUGUUGCUAUGUGUCUGGCAAAAGAAAGGAAAUUGUAAAAAGAGAGAGGGGCAUUCAUGAAUAAAAUCUAGGUAAACAGUGCAUCAAGACACCAAAUCAAGCUUUUUUCAAGUUUAAUCUUUGAUGAAUUUACCUUAGAUACAGAAAAAUAUCCUUUUGAUCAUGGACUAAAUGACUAUAUGCAAUAAUAAAAUAUAUAUUAUUUAUUUAUGAUGAAUACAUAGGUGAAGGAAAACUCUUCAUAAAAAUGGAUUUAUAAGUCUUGAUUCUUCCUGAGUAAGCAGAAUACUAUUUUUCUGAUUGCCCAGUGUUGCUGAUGUUGGUCAGGCCACCUGAAAUCACAGUGGCUAAGCUGAAUGGACAAUGGAUUGUGGAGUUCUGGUGGGUAAGAACCUUCUCCAAACUGUUCUCCUUUUCUCAGCUUUUAACUGCUGCCAUCUUCUUUCUUUCAGCAUUAAAAAAAAAAAAAAAAGAAAAAAAAGAAGCUGGUACAUCAGGAUGUCUCACUAUGUUUUAUAUUGAGGAGAACAGGAAAGCGUGAUAAGAAGCAAAUGCUGUCCUUUAGAUUUCCUAAAUCGUCCUCAACAGUCUGUGACAUUUUCUGUGACUAUCAAUUGCAAUGUGCAGUAGCAUAUCAAAGGGCACAUAGUGCCUUGAGUAAUUUACUUGUGUUUCUGUGCUGUGAAAUCUAUAUUCAGAGUAUUGUCUUAUCCCUAGAGAAAAAGGGGAGAGGAUGGGGGACAAAGCCCUGCAAGGAAAUAUUAUUACCUCUACUUGCAGUUCGCUAGAGGUUUUCUGUUUGGUUGGUUUGGUUUUUCAAUGAACUAAUCUGCCCUUGAUCCUAAGACUAUAUGAAUGGAUUUCACAAGCCAUAAUUUGUAUACAAACCUACUGUCUAUUUAAAUCUCUUACUUAAUCUUUUAUCCAACUUUUUUUUCUUAUUUUUAAAUCUCUCAAUGUAAAUGUAAGAAUUUGAGCCUUAAUAUAAUAGUGCUUGUAUGCUUAGUUUGUUUCUUUCCAUUUUGUCAACAAUCUUGAAGACUUUCCUCUUUGCUUCUGACUGAUUCUCAUAUGAAAAGAUUAAAUAUUCAGAGAAAGUUGUAGAAAAUAUGUGCAUGUGUGGGUUUUUUUAUUUGUUUGUUUGGUUUUUUUCCCAUGGGAUUGAUUUUUAUUGAGAAAUAAUCCUUCUGUUUUUCUUCCGUAUGUAUCAGGGCUUACCUCUAAUCUUAGAAACUAAAGCCUCUAAAAUUGCUUUAGAUUUAUUUUUUAAUUUUCUUUUGCAGAUUGGCAUGGAUUUCUAACAUCUGAUUCAAUAUUACUUAUACUGUAGUUUUAACCUUAAACAUCUGAGAAAAAUUAGAUAUGUUCAGAGUAAAACUUAUCCAUAAAAAAAAAUUAUUGACAUUACUUUCAUCCUCUGAAUUGAUUCCUUUGACCUUUUUCGUACAUUUUGUUACUAUUGCUGGGUAAGGUGGAAGGAAGGAGAAGCUGUAUUAGGUGGAAAGGUAGAUAACCAAUAUUUUUGUAAUGUUUAUUUUGUACUGUAUUAAUGUGGGAAUGGAACCACAGCAUUUAGCUGAAACCACAGCAUUUUAAUAGAUACAAGUUAAGAAGCAAUCUCUGAAUGAAAUUCAAGUUUGCCAUCCUAAAAUCUAUAGCAGCAGACAUGGGCAUAGGUUUCUUGCUGUCUUAGAUGCAGCAAAGUGACCUUAGUCUAUUGCAUUUUCCUUCCUCAUUCUGCCUCAACUAAAACAGAAACACCUCUCUGCUUCUCAUCCAGAAUGUGCACUGACUCACCUGUUCAAACUAAAGAAUUUUUUCUUGUUCGUGGGUUAUUUUCCUUCUCUCUCAUGAAAUUCAUGAAUAUCCCUAAAUAUUGAGUAUCAGCCCAGAGCUAGAGUUUAGAUAACAUAAUUCUUUACAACUUGUGGGCAGAGCUGCAGCAGCACCGUACCCAGAACUGUCCAGGUGUGCUGUGUCCCUUAUGGAGCGAGACAAAGCAUUGUCUACCCACCUUUGGCAAGGCUUUCCACCAUAAAGGAUCCUAUGACUUUAUAAAAUAGUACUAAACUCCACUAAAUGUUCUACUGCAUGUUUUUGGUAUAUUUUCCUUUAAUGUAGCCAUUUUCAGUUAUGAUUUAAAUCAUGUCUGCUUGGUAUUUCCUGAGAACAUCUAAUUUUUCUUCUGAUUUGUUUUUGGUUUUGGAGUUUUUUGACAGGUUAGUUUAGAGAGAUGGUCCCAGUGAUGUUAAAUGCCAGAGAACAGAAAAACUGGUUGCAUCCUAAAUGUCCCUUACUUCAAAUACAAGGAAGCCUAUUAAGAAAAGCACUAAAGAAAAGGAAGAUUUUGAAUCUUUAGUUGAGCUUGAUCUUAGCAAACUUUGUAAAAAAAAUCUCAGAAGUUUCUUCACCUCUUCAAGAAGCUGCUAAGUAAUCUCAAACUUUUCUUAGUUUCUGGAACUACUUUGCAAAACUGACAUUUCUUCUUGAACUCUAAACUGCUGUAUGUUCCCCCAGUAUCAAGAUAAGCAAACAAAAAUACAUAAAACUAGGUCUCCCACUUUGUGUUUCCUGAGUCAGUACAGAAAUUAGCUACCUCUUUGCAUGGCUAUAAAGCUGGGAAAAAAAAUAAUCUAAAGAUACAGUCAUAGGAUAUUAGACUGAGUAAUCUUUGAGUAACAAAGCUUUACUAAGUAGUCAUUAAGUUUUUGGAGGAUUGUCUCUUCCAUUCUGUCUAUAUUCUUGUUACAUUCAUGUCAGUGUUUUUAAAACUUUUGUAUAAUGAUCUAGAUUUUACCUCUAGGAGAGAUAAUAAUCUUAAUAACAUGAUCAAUAUGCUGUGCUUCCUUUGUAAAGAAAGAAGAGACAACCAACUUGUCUAGUUAAGGCCAGUGGCCAGGGCUAGCCAACAUCAAUUUCUGACUUGUUUUUAUUAGACAUUUCUCUGCUAAUUAGAGGGCAGAGAGGAAAAAAGUUUAAAAAUCGUUUUCUGUGUCUUUGAGAAAUAUUCUUUGUGGAUCUUUGCACUGGGAUUUUUUCCAUUAGCUCAAAUAAAUUCUUAUAUUUAUUUAAAAAAUCCCUGUUAAUUCUGAUUUUCUUCACAGAUAGUUUCUGACAUGUAAACAGCCUCUGCAAUUUCUUGCCAGGAUUUCCUUACCUAUCUUUAGUGCUAUCCCAGAGAGAGCUAAAAGUGCUUCCCUUGAAAACCUGGGAUCAAUAGGUGCUUCGGAACUGAUUAGGUGAAUCUACCAGCCUGAUAAAUUCCCUUAUGAAAUUUGGCUCGCAGAAGAAUAUAGAAGUGCUAAGGAUGGGGAAGAUAUGUUACUGGCUUUGGCUGCAAACAAGUGAUAGAAACCUCUUGUGUAGUUUUCAUGCUCUCUUAGCAGUUUGUUACCUGCAUUUUGGCAAAUAACUUCCAUCCUCUCUAGCUCUUCUUGCCAGCCCUUCUUCUGGCUCAUGUAGUCAAACCUGUGAGCUCAGACAGGGCUCCUCUCUCUCCCCUCUAAUUGUUCUGCUCUGAAACCAUCUGUCUUAUGAAUUAUUGUAAUGCUUUUGUACCAUGAGGAAAAUAAGUGUGAAGCUGUUAACUUGCUAUCCUUGGAUGUUGUCCAAUAACUUCCUCCGAAUAGGUCUAGCCCUUGCCGAAUGGAUUUUUCUCACCUUGUCACACAUGCUAUUACUGUUGUGUUACUUAGGUUGAACAGAUGCUGUGUCUACAUGGUUAUAUUAUGUCCAGCUUUCAAACUUGCUCACUGUCUUUCAAAUCACUAAAUUAACAUCUCUUCUAUUCAGCUUUUUGAUGCUUGUCACUCUGCAAAUGGCAUUUUUCUCUAGCUAGUGAUAAUUAGAUACCUGGUUAAUGUGCUCUGUGUAUUUACUCAUUAUUAGGGCUUAAUCCCAAAGUGACAAUACUGUCUCUGCUGAUAAGCAGGAUGAAAUCCCCAUACAUAUUCUACUCCAUUAGUUUUCCUAAUCACUUUAAAGAAAUUGCUCUGAAGAUUUCUGAGUGUGAUUCCCACAAAAUGCACCAUUCCCUGACCUCAUGCUGCCCUUAAAAAAAGGUGACAAUUUUUACUUUCUUUUGCAGUCUUAGGCAUCACUGACUUGUCCACUGCGUAUCCAGAUUAAACUGUGGGAUGCUAUCUGGAAAGUUUCCAGUUUCCUUGGUCAACCACAGGGAAAUGUGUGUGCCAGAGCAGCGAGAAUGAAUGUGCUGCUGGUCCCCAGAGACACUGUAGCACCAUCUGUGAAGAAAUGUUAUGGAAGAGGCUAAUUUAAGUUCUGCUUUGGUUGGAUAGACAAGAAAAAGUACCUGUCACUAUUUGUAAAGGUAGAGAAGAUCAAAGACAUAGAGCAGACUUCUGGAAAUUCUUUGGAAGCAAAAGUGUUAAAGAAGGUUCAUCACAGCAAAAACUUGAUAGAAAGGAAAACCUGAUAAUUUGAGUGUUCCUACGGUUACACAAAGUUUGUUAUGGUUUCUCCAGAGGAAAAUUUCCAAGUAAAAUUUUGACCACAGAUUCACUGCUCUGCAUGAGGUGAGUACUGCUAUUCUGUGCUAAAUUACAAGUUUAGCAAAUAGGCUGUGCUAAAUUAAAAGAGUGACAGAUAAAGCAGCUUGCUCUAUAUGAAACUCGUGCUAUUCAGAAAAAAGCAACAUUUUGGCAAGGUGAUUGAUCUUCCUGUGACAUGGUUUUGGAGAAGGAGCAGGGUUUGUCAGUAAGGUAUUGUCACCAUGCCUGCUUGAACUCUAUGAUUUCUGCUGGCUGCUGACUCAGUAAAAUGUUUGUCACAAUCAAGAACAGGAUAUCUUCCAGCAACUAUACACAGUGCAUAAUCUUGCAACAUAUUAAAAUAAGAUUAUUUUCUUGUGAUAUCUUUGAGAUAGAUAUAUAUGUAUAUGUAUAUAAAUAUAUAUAUGUAUAUAAUAUAAUUAAAAUAAGUUGGCUAUCUUUAACUUGUGCAAAAGGAUAUUCUUGGAGACUCGCUGGUAGAUUAAAAGAGUUUUAUUUUCUUUCUUUCAUUAAUUUGUCCCAUUUGCAAUGGAUAAAGGAAAAAAGUAAAGAAUAGUGGGAAAGUUAAAAGGAGACAGGAGAAAGGAAAAAUUUCAUCCCUCAGACAUUCACUGAACUCUUUGCUAAUCAACAAUAUUCAAAGAUCAAUACUGUCAGUGUUUAUUUCAGAAACAUGUAGCAUUUUGAAGCAGUGUAUGUGCUGUAUCUCAGUGAAACUGUGACGCUUUGGGCUGAUGGACAGCUCAAACCUCUAUAUUUACAAUUUUCUGACCUUUGGAUCCACCCAAAGGGUGGUUUUUAAGCUCAGCAAAGAAUCCUGUGCUCAUGCUCAGUUUCGAGAAGUACUUCCGUGCUUCAGAGGUCUUGCAUAACUGGAGCAGGGUGUAGGAUGAAAACUGAAUUUUUACCACUCUUACCACACAGAGUUUACCACUAUUAAGUCUUUUUUUAUUUUUUUCCAACAUGGAAAGAGCGGGAGACUUCAUCUAGGCUUUAGUCAGUAAAACUAGGGGUUUUUCACAAAGCAACCUUCAUGACCAAGUGGAGCUGGCAAAACAUUUUGCUAUGCAGCUCUUAGACAACACUGACUCACAGAGACUAAAACUUAUUAUAAAACCCCUUGGUUUUGACAGAUCCUUGGUUUAGAAAAACAUUUAAAGGUUUCAUAUUUUGCUUUGAAAAUAGAAAAUGGUUCUACUAAUUCCUUUAUGAUAAAAAUUUAUAAAAUUUUAAAAUAAACAUGAAAAUAGUGAAAGAAGAAUUAUUGAAUUUAGUUGAAAUUGAAAUCUCAGUCUAAAAAUAAGUGUGGCCUAUUGCAGAAUGAGGGUUUUUAAGCUCCAGACUUUUUCAGUUUUCUGGAGAAGAGUUUCCUUCUCUAAUCCCUCUGUGCCAUCUUUUAUACCUCUAAUUUUUUAUCUUUUUUAUUGUUUUUAAAUUUCAAAGUAUACUGGUUUCCAAGUUUGUUCUUGGAGUGUUUCACUGAUCUGACACUUUUGUACUGACAAAGGCCUUGGAGGAACUCAUGAGGGAGAAUCCCACCCACCACAGGAUAGUCCCACUUCUGAGUCCCCAAGUUCACACUCUGUUAAAUUGCAUGGGAUUUUUUUCCUCAUCUUUUGCCUUUUUGCUAACUACACCAGACAAAGUAUGAAACUUAGGUAAAUGGAAAACUUUUACUGAGAUGUUGACUCUGCUAAAGACUUGAAAAUCAAAAAUUAGUGGAACUCAGAGAAAACUAUCAAUAACACUACCUGCAACUGCUAUAGGCAAUACCCUAAUUCCACACUGUUAAUAUACCAUCUGCUUUUCUGAUUUUUCCCUGGCAUUUUUAUUUGUUUUGUUUACAUUUGCUGUUUGCAUUCUCAUGUCUUCUAAGAAAAUAUUCUUCCUCCAUAAAUUCCUGGAAAAUAUCCUGUCUAAGAAGAAAUCAGUGGCCCAACUUUCACUGAUGCCACACCUGAACUUUUCCAGGAAGUCUUGAAAUUUCCUAGCACUUUUAGCUUCAGCCUAUUUGUUGAUCAGAAUGAUCUGUUUUUCAUGCUGUCUAUUUCAGAAUGAUCAUCUUGUGUUUGGGCUCGAAUUCCAGUCUUGGGGUCAUUUGCUGUGUAAUGGUAAACAUUCCAUCUUUCUUAAUAGUUUUUCAAAAUACCUGAAUAUUUCUAUUUUUCAGCCAUUGAAAUACUGUCUAUAACUUUAUGAAAAAUCAAAUUUAUAUGCGUAUUUCUUUAACAUUAUUCUGAAAUUUUACUGCUAAUAUCUUCACCCAUGUCUGACUGAGAACUCCAGGAAGUGCAUGUGGCAAGUGGAGUUUCUUUUUUCCUCUCAACCCUGCCAUGUUGCAGUCCUUUCUCUGCACCUAAGCUGUGGUACUGAGGAGUGGCACUGGGGUGAGUAGGGCUGUGCAGCUACUAAGCUUAAGUGCUUAAGUGUACCUCCUGGCCUAAGUACAUGAAAUUCCAUCAGACCAUCAGGCUAUUUAUAUCACACCAUCAUGUGCAUACAUUACCUGUGCACCCAGCUUUUACUAGACACUUUUAAUUCCACUGCAUCAUGCUGUCGUAUAAAGUAUGAAGUGAUGUAGGUCAUUCUACACCCUGAAGAGGCAGGAGAAAGACUGAUGAUAGCCACAGCAGUGCCUGUCCUUCAUAUUUCUGCCACUCUGCAGAAGUGGACUGCUGACCACAGCAGCUGAGUCAUGAGAACCUGCUGUCUGCAGAGCAUUGUGUUUUGUUGGAUCUUAGAGUGUCCAAAUGUAUGAGAUGUCUAAGUGGUUAUCAGGGCCAGUGGUGGAGUCCAUCAUCCCAAAGUUCCCCACUUCAUUGCUCUUUUGGAAGACGUCUCAUGAGGAGUGGCUAACGGAGCUGGGGUUUUUAGCCUGGAGAGAAGGAGGCUCAGGGAAUACUUAAUCAUCCACUAUAACCACAUAAAAGGAGGCUAUAGCAAGGUGGGGCCUGUUCUCUUCUGCUAGGUAACAAGUGACAGGCCAGGAGGAGAUAACUUGGAUAUUAGGAGAAACUCCUCAACAAAAAGAUUGGCCAGGCAUUGUAGCAAGCUGCUCAGGGUAGAACCAUCAUGCCUGGAAGUGUUUAAAAAACAUGUGGAUGUAGCACUUAGAGACAUGGUUUAGUGGUGAAUACAGCAGUGUUGGAUUAAAGGGUGUACUGAAUGGUCUUAGAGGUCUUUUCCAACCUAAACAAUACUAUGAUUCUAAGAGCAUCUCUGUUCUUUCCUCUUUUUAAAGCAGCAACAGGAGAUUUAACUGUAGCUUGGGACAGUGGUAGGAAAAGAAAGGGGACAUUGAUGAAGGAGAAGGUUAUUUGUAUAAAAUCCUUGGCUUUUAAUCAACUAUCACUUUUAUAUCUAGAACUUUGUUUAUGGAUCCUGGCUAUAUUCAGGAUCACAAAGCUGAAAGCAAGGCUGGUUUAUUUAGCCUUAGGGUCUUUUGUGCCCUCAUGCUACUUACAAGCCAGUCACGAUUUGGCCCAUAAAUUGCUCAGUGCUUUGCACUUUCAGAGGAAUGAUUAAGAGCACUCUGUCUACGAAUAGGCUAUUUGUACUUCACAGUCAUCAGCAAAACACUCCUAAUAGAUGCUGUAGUGUUUGGCUUUGACUUGCCCUUUGCAAAGUUCACACAGUCUGCCAUCUGAAUCAUAGACAGCAGAUGCACUGAGGUCUGAUCUUGCUGCUAUUUGCCAAAACUGAGAAGAUAUUAAACACAGGGCAAAAACACAGACAUACCUGACUCUGCUGAGAGUAGGCCAUAUCGUUUAGAUUUUCUUCUCAAGUAUUAUCUUCUUGUACAUGACAUUUGAGGAUGAGUUAUUAUAUGUCUCUGCUUUUAAGAAAAAAAUGGAUCAAGAAAUGAGUGUUCAUGAGCCUCUUCUGUACCUUCUAUCACAUGCUUUUUGUCAAACUGAUAAAUAUCAAAUAUUGAUUUGUGUUGUUUUCUUGGCACUCCUCUUGAAUUUGUCAAGUUUAAUGGAUCUUCCCCAUGAUGCUUUAUUUAUCAUGGAAUCCAUAGUAAUUUUCAAGUGAAAUGACAGCUCUUAUGAUUGAAUGGGAACUUCAGCGUUAGUCUGGAUGAAAUUUGCCUGCUGUUGAUUAAAGUCAGGUGUCUAUAAUUAUGGAAGUGAUCUAUCAUCCUUUUUUUUUUGGAAAUAAUGUGUCAAUAGUAAUCUCAAGGAAUAGUCUGUUCAUCCUGCAUAUUAGAAAGGUUUUAUAACUCAGCACUGGGGAUUGACUUUAUACAGCUUGAUAUUGCUGCAUGUUGCCACUUACCUCUUUGAUACUGGCGCCUCUUGACACAAGAUUAAUAAAUACUUUUAAGGAAAUUACAGGAAAGGAUAUUGUAUUGUAUUGUAUUCAAUGGAAGUCCUCCAGAAGCAAAAGACUGCAUUUGGCACUGCUUAGCAGCCAGAUCACAGCCUUCAUGGUCAGACUAAAUAAGCAGGAGGAGCUCCUUCACAUACUAAGAAGUAAACUCCCGUCAUUCUUAGCUUAUAAUGCCCAAUAUCAGGGGUCAAAUAUUUUUCUAAAGAUUCAUUUUUUAAAAUGAAAGUCUUUUUUUUCUGAUAACUGUCUCAUAAAAGGUACACUCAACAAACUCCAACGUCAAGGCAAAUACUUUAAGCAUACUUAUCUAAUUUGGUUCUGAAAUGAGCCAAAAAAUGGUAUUUUUUGGAAGGCUUGCAAGGAGUGAUCUGUUUCUUGUGUGAAAAUAAUAUGUUGUUUAGGAGUGCAAACUGGAGUGCAUACCCUGAGGGGGUAGCUCCCCCUCAGGAUGCAUGUGUGUGUUUGUGAAUGUGAGUCUGUGUGGUUUCAUUCCUUUCUGCAGCUUUUUUAAAUUGUUGUGAAUAUUUAGUAUAACUUAUUAUGUUUGAAUUUUUGAGGUCUAUAUUUGUAGAAGUUUUCUUUUUAGAGGGAGCACCUCUAUUUACUUCAAAUAGAUACCCAAAGUAAACAGUGAAGUUAUAUAAUGUCUAAGUAAAUACUUAUUUUGGAUUUCUCAUGUACAGUGAUAUUCUGAAAGAGUCAACAUUAAUUCAACUCAGAUGAACUCAGAAAAGCUUGCUCACAUACACAUUACCCUAAAAUUAUAAACUUGUUUUAUUGUUCCAUGGUUGGAAAUGCCCUUUUAAAACAGCCAUGGUAUAGUCAUCUUGUGAGCAUUCAGAACAAUCAUCUGAUUCUUUGUAGCAUCUGGUGGAAAAGUAAAGCAUUUUCUGUUAAAAGGUCCGUGUUAGGGACUUGUCCUGACUUUACAAUAGCAGUGACAAUUGAGCACUAGACAAAGAAGGCUUUUGAUGCAGGUUGACUAGUUCAGUGCUUUCUUAUUACUUUGUGAUGUGCUGACAGCUGAAUGAUUUAUGAUGCCUUAUAAAUAAGAGGCAAUAUCGCUACUUUAAAAAAAUAAAAUUUAAGAUAAAUCUUGGAGUGAGAAACAGGUCCUGUCCAGAAAGAUGAGGGAAGUACAAUUCAGAAACUACUCAAGUUUCAUUCACAGUCAAGCUUCCUUCUUGGUCCUUGCAUGCCUUUUGCACUGACACUCAAACCCAGGCUGGGUCUGGAGAUGUUAAAAUGUAGGCUUGUUAACUUUGGCUAGCAUGCUGAUAAAUCUGAGCUGGUAAGGAAGCUUGCAUUGAAGAAUUGCUUGGGUAGCAGGAAGAACAAUGUCUUUCUGUUUCACAUGGAGGUAUGAAGUCCAUGGAGGAAUGAGAAUGAUACAGAAAAUCCUCUAGGGAGAAAGAGAAGGGGAAAGAAAAUGGCAAUAUGGAGAGAAUAACAGUUGAACUCCGUGGAGGAAAUCUUAGCAGGUCAUCCAUGUAUGUGUCUUUCAUAGCCUCUAUGAAAACCUAUUGAAUCCUGUCUUGUUAAUCUUUCCCAAUAUUUCAAGAAUUUUUCUGUAAGACUGAGACUGCUUGCUAACAGUGUGUAAUUAACUCUUUUAUAAGCUUUAUCUGAGCUGCUCUCUCAGGUUACUUGUAUGAUACAAAUAUGUUACAAAAUAAACACAGAUUUGAUUUUCUUCUCUUUUGGGUGUCGUCCAAGAUUCUUUUGUCAUUUGGGUUGAGAGUUUUUGGUGGGUUUUUUUUUAUGUGGGUUUUUUUUGCAGGUUUUUUUUUGUUUUUGUUUUUGGGGUUUUUUUGCAGAAGGAAAAGAAGAAAAAUGUGGCUGUAUAUCUGUGUAUUUCACUGCAUUCUCACUAAUCAUAGUGAUUUACAGAAACAAUAGAUUUAGAUAUUCUCUGCCUAUUUAAGAGUGUUCAGAGAAGGAAUGAAAAUGAGUUUUAUGUUUGGGGUGUUUUUGCCAGACUCAUCAUUCUUUAUCUAUUUCUUGGUAUCUCAGAAACCCAUAUUUAAUAUGCUGCAGUGAUUGUGAAGAUUUUAGCCUAAUUUUAAACCAGGGCUUAUGGUUUCCUUUCCAAUGAACUUCUUGGAGUAUGAGAUACAGUUUUUGCAUGAUAAACUGUUUCUGCUUCAUCUUGGUUUUAGCAAGAAACACUCAAAUGAGUCUUUAGGGCUUUUUCCUAUUCUUUUUCUUUGCAGCUGAAUAUGACCUAAAAAUAAAAUUGAUCAAUUGCAGCCUAAGCAUUGAUGACUUCUUAAAAAUGUAAUAAUGUCAUUACAGUAUCAUCAACACAGAAACAGUCUAAGGUGCACACAUUUUCAAUGCCUUUUUGCACCAAAUCCAGAAGCACUUCUAAUAAUCCAUGAAUGCUGUGGGGACCAUGAAGCCAGACUUGACUGACAAGAUUCAAAAGCUAAUAAAAAGAAAUAUUGGAAAAUAAGGAAAUUUUUAAAGAAUGUCAAAAGAUGCACAUUUAGCUAAGAGAUUCAUCUUUUCUAAGGAGACCAAAAUGUUCCUUUGGCAUUUUUAUUUAAAUAACAUUUUAAUAGAGAGGAUUUUCACUCUGAGAUACCAUACGUAACUCCUAGUAAGUGUAAGUACGGCAGAGGAACAAUUUUCCAUUCAGUUCUACUUGUUAUUUGAGCAAAUGUGGGAAGGAACUGUUUAGGGACACAGACACUGAUAAAUGGUUUCACCAUUAAUCUCAGUAACGUUUUGGAACUGAUUUGGACACCAUCAUCAUUUAUUUUUAGAAAUGUCUUUUACACUAACAUUUUAAAAAAUGAAGUAAGAAUGUUAUUUUAAUAUUUUAUAUUUCAAUGAAUAUUCAGCAUAUUUACAUUAAUAUUUCUUGGUUCAUUUAAAUUAAUAUUCUUCAGCAGGAAAUACAAAAAGUUAAAUGUAUUUUUAUCCAUUAGAGAUGAUUUAACUCGGCCAUUUACCUUUCACUAUCUUCAUUGACACUUUAGGAGAGGAAGGUGGUCUUAAUGAAAAUCUACCUUCCUUCUGUCACUAAAUAAUAGUUCUGGGAUAAUUUAGAUUAAUGGAGUUAGAGCUGGAUGUUGAACACAGAAUGACACGUGAAAAAAGUAGAGUCACAGAAAGUAGGCAUAUGCUCUUCGGGUAUCUAAGAAUUUCUGUCUCAAAGAUGGCCCUAAGGCAAUAUGGUACAUGCUUAUUUGUAUGGCUGAUGAGUUAUAAUAUAGAAAUACCAAGUAAUAUUACAUAUUUUAAUUACCUUGCCAAUUAUGCUCCAAGGAGCUAGUUAUUUUACUAAUAUUUACUAGACUUGCUUAGCAUACAAUGGUCUCCCUUGUUUUUUCCUGUUAUUAAUAUGUAAUAUACAAACUGGCCUAUUCAUGUUUAAUAUGUUAAAACUGUUGGUGUAUCACUGUAGCACAUCCAGACUGCUCCAGAACAUACACAAAUGUGUGUUAGACCUGAAACACAGGAUUGUCUACAACUUUUUUGUGUCUUGGCAAAUUUUUUGUUGGGAACAUUGGGAAAAAGAUGAUUCAUAUUUUCAAAAAUUUCAUGGAACGAUGCCAUUUUUUUGCCAUUUGAUGGUGUUAUGAGUAAAAUAGAAAUUUAGCUGUGAAUCUGUGUCUGAGGAAUGAAUAGCUUUCAGGAAAAGAACAAAACAAAAUGUGUUCCUGCUGUUGCUACCAUUAUGGUAUUUCUCAAAUGCCAGGCAAUUCAUGAGGAAACCACAGAGGGAGGAAAACAAGCAAAUUGCAUUGCUGUACUGCAAAGCUCAUUGUAGAUUUUGUAAUUUCUAAGGCUUUUAACUAACAACUAAGGCUUCAAAGUAUGUUUUUUGUUAGAGAAGUGUGAUGUCUGAUUGAAGGUUUAUUAAUGUUUUUUGGUAGAUAGCCAUUUUACUAAUGCGUACAUACUCCCAUUACGCUCUGACAUACCCAGCAGCAAAGGACAACACUAUUGAACAUCUCUGGAGGAUGCUAAAUGAGAAAUUUGAUGUAUGAAUAUUUUCAUAAGUAGCAAACUCUGAAAAAUAUAAAUGAUACCCUUGUGUUGACUUAUAGCAUGCCAUUCAACGUAUGGUUUAAGAAUAGUAUGGUCUAUGUGUGAACAGCCAAAUGAAUAAAAACCUUUGUAGGUAAACAGGGAGUGGUGACUGCUUUUGCUGCAGAGUCUGGCAGUUCCAUUCACACUUGUGGAAACCUAAGAAGGGUAGUGACAGAAGGAGUCACUGAGCCCAACAGGAUCAUUAGCUAAAUUGCUGUAGUACCCUGCUCUGGAGUGUUGAAGUAACAUUCCAGAGGCAACAGAAAUGGUACAGAAUUUUUCAUCAUUUGGUUGGUGAAGUAGUGUAGGCACUAAUAUAUGUAUUUCAAGUUUUUUGUACAGCUGUCAAGCCUCAAGGAAGUUUGAAGAGACCUUAUGAGAAGUAGGAGAAGAAGACUCAUGGAAAUUAACAUGAAGGUUAGUUGUGGCUCACCUAUCUUGCUUUUUGUCCUCUGCUGUGAGGCAUUCUUAGAAAACAGACAAAGAAUAAAUGCAGGGUGGAGGACCAGCCAGCUUUCUAUUAGAACCAACCACAAAAAAAAUGCAAGUAAACACCACUGUCUUGUUCAUAUAAAAUCCACUGACUUAUGGUAUCCUCUGAAACAGUAGGGGAGAACCACAGAACUCUCAUGGGAGAAAAGAUAUGGAGAGCAAUCAGUUUUCAGAAUGUGAGACUUGAGCAAAGGCCAACAAUUAGGAAGUUAACUGUUACCAGACUACAUAAUCAUAGCAUAGUGUGGGUUGGAAGGGACCUUUAGAGAUCAUCUUGUCCAACCUCCCUGCCAUGAGCACUGACAUGGUCCAGUACAUCAGGUUGUUGAAAGCCCUAUCCAACCUGACCUUGAAUGUUUCCAGGGGUAGGAUAUCUACCACCUCUCUGGGCAACCUGUUGCAGUGUUUUAUCACCCCCAGAGUAAAGAACUUCUUCUUUAUAUCUAGUCUAAACCUGCCCUCUUUUUUUUUAAUUCAUUACCUCUUGUUCUACCUCCAUAGACCCUGCUAAAAAUUUGUCUCUAUCUUUUAAAAUUCUUAUUAAGCACUGAAAGGUUGCAAUGAGGUCUCCCCAGAGCCUUCUCCAUGAUAAACCUCUCUCAGCACAGAGAGGUGUUCUUCACAGGAGAAGUAUUCAACCCCUCUGAUCAGUCUUGUGGCUCCCCUCUGGACUCCAACAAUUCCAUGUCUUGUGCUGGGACACCAGAACUGGAUGCAGUGUUCCAGGUGGGGUAUCACCAGAGGAGAGCAGAGAGGCAGAAUCACCUCCCUCACCCUGCUGGCCACUCUGCUUAGGAUCAGCCCAGGGUAUGUUGGUCUUCUGGGCUGAUAGUGCCCAUUGCUGGCCCACGUCCAGCUUUUUAUCCAUUAUUAAUCCUGUGUCCUUCUUCCUAGGUCUUCUCCCCAUCCCUUCAUCCCUCAGCCUGUAUUGAUACCCCAAUUCAGGUUUGAUUACUAGUAAAUUUGAAAGAGUACAUUUAUGCCUGGUAGUUGUGUAUGCAAAGUAACUGCAGUGAUGCCCACUGUAUUUUUUUUUAAUUUUAUUCUUAUUUUGAAAAUUCUGUCAGCAAUUUAAAUUCAAUGAAUUCUAAAUUCAGACUAUUUAAAUUCACUUGGAAGUGGAGUGUUUUAUUUCAGUAGGUCUCUUAAUAUAACUACUACAAGGUUGAAUUUAUCUGAGACUUAAAAAGCAGUCUGUAUUUGAGGUGGAAGUUAGCUGAGACUCAAAACGCAGUCUGCAUUUGAAACAUGCUCUGAAUUUAGUUGAUAGUAGUAGGCAAAAGGUGUUUAAGCUUCUUGUUCUCUGUGGAUCUUCUAAUUUUGCCCAUUCAAAUUUUCUAUGUUACGGAUGUUGUGGAUGCCUGGUUUGAAUUUUAUUCCAAAACAGGUUGUAGAAAUAUGCAUCCUAGAAUUCUAAAGAGUCACAAGUGCUAUUGCCUCUUAAAGGGAUAAUUAGCUUCACCACAAGUUAAGAAUGUCUGUUUGGAACACUGUCAACACUGACUCUGCUAAGUCAGGAAUUUCUGUGCUAUACUUGAUCAUGCAGUGAAAAUAUGAUGGCUUACUACAGUAUGGGCUAGCUAAGUGUGGGGGUUUUUUGUUUUUAUUGAAAUUUAGAUGCAACAGUGUGGUUGUAUCAGUGAAAGAUGAUGGCUGUCUUAAAAAGCAGUCUAUCAGCUUAGCUCGUUAAUGUGCUCUACUUUAUGUAUGAUGUACAAGUCAAAGCCUGUGUGUAUGAAUCUAAGGGAAACAUUUUCUUAAAUAGCCCUAUUGUUCUUCAAAUGUCUGUCAAUAUUAAUGUUCCCUACUUCUAAGACCUUAAAAAUUAAAAAGGAUUUAGCUUGGCCCUUGUUUCUGUCACGUGCAACAAGUUCCAACAGCUUCAUUAACCUAUGGAAGAUGUUUAUAAAUUCUGACACAAUUGCUUUGGUCCCUUGUCCUGUGUUUGAGAGUACUCUUAUUGAUGAUUAGCUUAUGUUGAUGGAGAACUUUAUGCUCUGAAUAUUAUCUGUUCAAGUUCUGCUGUCCAAGACUGAAAAUAAGGAAAUAUUUUUUACUUCUGGUAAGUAGUUCAAAUAGUUCCCUACACAACAUCUCCUCCCCCAUCUUGGGGGGGGUGAAGUGCGUGCAAACCUGGCCUCAGCAGAGGAGCCUGUGGGCUAUGGACUCCCGUACCAUGAGCGCAGCCAGAGAUAACAUUCAGGACAGCUGCUGGGUGUGGCUUGUGAAUACAUUCUUCUCCUUCAGUCUUGUUUACUUCUCCCCAGACCUGAGAUAAUUGGACAGUAGUGUCACUUUUAUCUUAUCUCAAGUCCUCUUAGGUGGCUUAAUUCACAGUCCACAGUCCCAGAAAGGAGGCAGAUCUAGGCAAGGGUGGUCUUUGGUGGUUGCAGCUUCUUUGUACUGUUUUGUUAUAAUGGGCAAAAAGUCCUUUGUAACAAUAUUUAAUUGAUUAAUCAUAACAUUUUAGUCUCUCACAGUAGGUCGUUAAAGUUGCUUUAAUGUGUUAUAGAACCUGGAGAACAGGGAGGAGCAGCCAUUAGUCCAUGAUCUAUUUCUAGCCCAAAAUGUUUGACUCAGCUUGCUUCUGCUGCUUUUCCAUGUUGCUCCAUAUAAGUCUCAAGAGCAAGCUACGAAUGUAGCUUCCAGCAUUCCUGGCGCACCCAUGGUUCCUCUUCAUGGUAUGAUGCAUGCAUUUACUGUAUUGAGGCUUUUCCUAUGUCAGCUGCGCCCUCAGGCAAGAGAACAAAUGUGAAGUGGCUGUUGCCAUGUCCUGGCAGCAGAGAAUAUCUGUUCUUUGUGAGCAAAAUCGUCACAGGCAGCUGUAGUGCAAUAGGAUCUGCACACAGACGGAGGGCGCUGCCCCUUUGGUCCUGGUAACAAACACUGAAGUAAACUGCAGACUUCCCUAGUUAGACUUGAUGCAUAGGUAUGGCUUCAGACCAAGUGUUCUUCAUUAUCAGCAGCUUUUUCUUGUUCUUUUCUCUUUCUCAACCACCUGCCUACACUGACAUCUGCACCUUAGCAUUUUUACUUCAUGCUGCUUCACUGCUGCUCCUCCAGUGGGAGUUUUUAUACUCCUAAGAUUACACAGUCUUCUGCUUCUAUUUUUUUAUAUCAUGUAUACAAUUGAAAUUAUCUUUUUGGGUUGAAAUUAAUAUUUGAGUUAUGUGUGAGCUUUGAGGAAGACACCUGUAAAACUUCUAGUUUGUAGAGUAUUGAUUUCCUUAUAAUUUCGAGGACUUUCAUGUCCACACUGAAACUGGUUCCGACUUCUUUUAUAGUAAGAGCAUUCAAAUUUUUUUUUUUAUUUUAGAUAAACAUUUUAGACAGUGUUCUAUUUAUUUUUUAUUUGUAGGAAUUGGGUUGUGAAGGACAAGAAUGUCUCCAGUGUAUCCUAAUAUAUAUGUCAUUCUGGUACCUAGCUGAUCUCUGUUCUCUUAUACUUUAUGAGAGUCAAGUAACACUGAAGAAAAUCCUACCUUUGAAUUCCCUAGUGUACAUUUGUAUUCCCCAAUUAAAUUGUUAAUUAAAUAUUGUCUGUUACACAUGUUUGUCAACUGUGCUGCUGCAGACUUUUAUGUAAAUAGCAGUAGCUAUCCAUCUUGGUUUGCUUUAUCUGAUGCGUUUUCAUCCUCUAUUUGUAUUUUAUUAAAAAUACUUAAUCUAAGCAGUUUAAAUUACUCGUUGGACAUGAAUAAAUCAUUAACGUGGUUUUACAGUCUUAAAUUGCAAGUCCCAUAAUUGCAGCUACAGAGAGAACUGUUUAAUUAAGAAAUGUAAAGUUAAGUGUUGUGUCACUGAUUUCACACGCUCCUCCCUCCUCCUGUUAUUUCAGCCAAAGUUUUCUUUCUGGCACUGUUUAUCCCUAAACCUGGAGUAAUGAGCUAAAUCAAUGCAAUUACUUAUGGAAUAAAGUACUAUCAGCAUGAGUAAAAAUGGAAAAGUCUGUCUAACUAAACUGCAAGUUUUUCCACUUAUUAUAGCUCAUCAAGACUUUGGCUGCUUUUCAAACUUACUCAAAUCCACAAUGUCAUUGGUUAAGCAUUAGAAGAACAAGAAGUUCCUCUAUUUUUCAUAUGUCUGCUCCUGAGAACUUUGAAGAGCUAUCCAAAGCACAGAAGCUAAUGACAAUGUUAUACUUCAUUUAUUGAGGGAAAACAGCCUGACAGGUCACAGCAAGCCGGAGUGGAACUGUAAAGCUAUGCUGACAGUUAGGCUUUUGUUUCAGAAGGUGGAGGAGGUACAGAAUGUGACUAUUUUAGGUUAUAUUCUCACUCCACAGGGAGAACGCAGGGAGAAGUUAAAGUGACCUAUUAAGGUGUUGGAAGGGUUUCUGAAAUGACAGUGUUCACAGCCCCACAGAAAGGAACAGAGUGGCGGAGCGAAGUUAAUAAGCUUGGGAAAAUCAGUCUUUUGGAAAUGACAGGCAGGAUCUCUUGGGAAAAAAUGGCUAAGUAAUAAAGCUCUCUCUUCAUACCUUCUCUAAAUAUGUUAUGAGAAAAUGGAAUAUGUUAAACAGAGGCGAUUUAUACUAGUGCAGAAGUAGGGAUGUGAAAGCAUAUGCAGAGGUUGUUUUUUUUUGUUAUUUUAGGUUUGUUUGGUUCUCUUUUAUUUUGUGGCUUUUCUGGUUGGUUGUUUGGUUUUCGUUUGGGUCUUUUCAAUAUUUCUGCAGUGCUUCCUGUGGUCCUCAUUUCUUGAUUAUACUUUCAAUAUAUUUUGCGUACUCUUUUUGAGUUUGUGGCCAUUCACCCUUCUUCCAUUGCUUCUCUAAUUUAAUCAAUAAUGACUGAGAAGGUACUUUAUUUUUUGUGUACUCAAAUUUUUUUUCUGCAUCUGGAUUGGAUCUGAGGAGCAGAAGAAGGGCUAAAGACAAUAAAAAAGGAAUAGCAUAAGUGAAUACAUAAUGCAGAGAACCAAAGUAGCCUGUGAACUGCCUAAUUGGCAAAAAAGAUGAAAAGACUCAUGGAAAUAUAAGGGAAAUAAAGGAAAGCAUCCAUCACUCUUCAAACAAAUGAUAGCAUUUGUUUUGAAAGAAAAAAGAUACAUUGUAAUUAGCUUUCUAAUGCAUUAAUUUUUAAUAGAGGCAGAGAAAGACCAGUUUUGAGAUUCUUUCAUUAACUUGGUGGUUUUUAAUUGGGAAACUGUAAUGUCUUUUUAUCUUCAAGGGCUUAAAAUAAGAAAGAGGCACUUUUUGAAUCAUUAAUUACUUUUGAGAAAUGAUGGAGGACAGGUUAGAUCCUAGGGGACUGAAGAAGAAUAAACAGUAUCUAGAAAAUGUAGUUUAGGGUGAAGAAAAAAUUAGCAGAAUGUGCAGUGCUAGGGAAAAAAACCCAUGCUCUAAAUGAAUUAUGAAACAAUUUAUAGAACCUAGAGGAUAAUGAAAUAAGAAGAAAACAACUAGAUGAAUUUGACAAGAGCAAAGUGUGUCAAAAAAUCUGUUUCUUUUCUUCAGUGGAAAACGCUCAUCUAAUGGAUAAAGAAACAGAGCAGCCUGUGUAGUUUUACUCUAUAAGAAUCCUGAUAUCCCCUUAUGUGAUAUGAGCAAAAUGGCCAGUGCCAUUGCCCAGGUGAAACUGCUGAUGAGUACAUGUGCAACUGGCUGAUCCUGUCUACCACCCCACACUCUGUGGUUUUCUCUCAAAUUGGUACAGCUCUAUCUAAUGCUUUAAAAUUUAGGUUUGUUGUUAGAAUGCAGCAUACAGUUAGAACAUCUCUAGAUUUAACUGUGUUGGGUAUAUAUUAAAUAUGACAGGAAAACAACAGAAUAAACUUUGAGAAAUGAUGAACCAGCUAAUCACCGGUACUGCAGUGGAGGAUGGCAGCAGAUUGUCAGCCACAUGGCUAGACAAAAUAAAAGGUCACAUAAACAUUUUUCCUUUUCUUGUAGUAGUAAAAUCCCAGGUCUUAUAUUGAAAUGAAGUAUCAGGAGUUUUGCUUGUAGGACAUGGGAGUUAAUUAUUAUUCUCUGAUGUGAAUAAAACUCUCAGCUGGAGCAGUGUGUGAAGCUCUAAGUAUCAUCCUUGAUACUUAGCUACAGUGAAGGAUUUCCAGAAGAAAAGAAAUCCAUCAGGUUUGGAAAACAGUGAAAAUAAUGAAAGAAUUCCACUCUGGCAAGUUUAAAAAGAGAUGAUAUCUUAUGCAAGAUAUGCAAAUCCCUAAUAAAAAGAUGGGAAUUGCUUCCCCACACCCCAGUAGUACUAGGAGAAAAUAUAAAUAAUCUGUAGAUGUUGCUGACAAAGGAGGAAACCACUGUAAAAUGGUGAGACUCAUAAACCAAUGAGUUUAUGGAAUAGCUUACCAAGGAAGAGUGUGGAAUCUCCUUCAGUUCAUGCUAAAUAGAGUAAAAAAAUAUUGGUAUUGGUCAGAGACAAUCUACAUGAGUUUCCUGUCCUACUGAAGGCCAGACUUGUGGAUCUUGAGGCUACUUCCAGCCCUGCCUUAGUUUAUCCUUAUUCAGAGGGCGUUUCUUCCCUUUCAGGAGAAGUUCUCCUGUUAAAGCUACUGACAGAACAUUUGUAAGGAGAACAGUAUGUUCAAUAAUUCAGAAUGCACAAUGACUUGUGUGGGAUGACUGCAGGUACGCUGUCAUUGUAGUCAGUAUUUAUGCAGGAAAAUAACUCAUGUUAUCAAUGAUUCCAUGGUGUGAGAUAACCUACUAUGUAAUUUAGCCUAGAUAUUAAAAGGAGAUAAAUAUCAACAGAAUAUGCAGUGGGAAAUCUAUUUGAAUUUGACCUUUUCUCUCCAUUAUUAUUGUCAAGCAGAGUAUGCAUAAAAAUUUGGUAAAAUGUUGUCAUGUGUAUUUUGCUAUCUACUGAUGAUAUUGUGUAUUUCUGCCUGAUUUUGGUGCAGGAAAGUAUACAGAAAGAAAUAGAACUUAAGCUUAUUAAAUGGUGUCACUACUAAGUAUUGCAUAAUUUGUUUUGAGUUUGAAUUUCUGCUGUAGCAGUUUUUAAUGAAAAUUAAUAUUUCAGGGAUCUAUUGUAUCAGCCUGCUAGAAAUAAAUCCUAAAAUAUUGGGCUAUAUGCAAUUGGUAUUCCAACUGAUUUGGAGUAUACUGACUUCAAAGAAAAAAAAAACCACCAAAAAACAACAACAACCAAAAAAAAACCCCCACCAAAAAAAAAAAACCACCCCAAAAAAUCAGACCAAAACAAAACAAUCUCUUUGUGAAGAUUCUGGUAGUUCUGGGAGCUAACAGUUUUUAAACAAGCUAGGGAAAUACCAGAGAAUUACACAGAGGAAAAAAAACAAAACCUUAAGUACAUAUUAAAGUUUCAAAUAUGUCUACAGUUCCUGAAAUAAAUUGAAGAGCUGCCUUUUCUGUCAAUCUGGUAGAUUUAUACAGGAGAUAAUAUUUUAGACAACUAUGGCAAAUGCUAUUAUUAAAUGUUUCUCUUAGAGGAAGAAAUGUAGAGGUAUUGGGAAGUUUUCAUAUUAAUAAACCAGGCUAUGACUGCUUGCAUAUUUAUAUUUUAUAUCACUUUACCACUAGGACCUGUAAAUAUCGUCUGUUUCUACAGAGACAGAAAAUAAGAAAACUCUCUUUGAAGGUGAUUUCUUGUUAAUAUUUUUCAAAAUGCUCUUUCCAGAUGAAUUCAUACUAUUUCAGCCUGAGGCUGCCAAAUCCACUUGGAGAUAUCCACCUUUUAGGGUCAGCUGUGAGGUGUAAAUCAAUGAGAACUCAGUCGAGUUAAUAUAUCUUCUACUUCCCUCUGACUCAUCAGCUUCAGGAGAAAAAAAAGGAAAAACAUUCUCUCCUUUGAAUUCUUCAGAAGCAGUACCCUCUCCAAAUUAUCUCAAAAGCCUAAGAUCUGGGCCAUCAGUCAACAUUUCAACCAUAGCUUGUCUCUUGGGAACACUUUAUUGCAAAUGGAAUUAAGUAUAUUUUCCUCUUUAAAACUGUAUACCUAGUGAGCCAGGGUAUAUAGUUCAGCUUCAGCAUAGUCUGAAGCACCCAUAUGUGCAGUCCCACAGCUGCAACUUGCUCACUAGUAGAUUGGAGUAGAUUAAGCUUAGAUGGAACUACACUCCUGUGUCACAUAGCUGAUAGAAGCCCUUUUCCAAUUGUGUUGUAAAUGUUUUCUUCAGAAAUACCAGGCUCUGUAGUUGUUACAGAAGGAGGGAGAACCCAAUGGGAUGUAAAAGUUGUACUAAAUGUUGUGGGGGAGUGGGUUCCAUUUAGAAACUUUUCUUUUUGCUCUGCAACAGUCUGUGACCCAGUGCCUCAACAGACCCUCAAGGUCCUGUCCAAAGUGUGUAGAGUAGGAGAUUUAAAUCUUAACAAUACUUAAACAAUACAUGUAUAAGGAAGCUUUCUUUAUGGAGUUCUCAUGUUGGUAGGGCCAUCCUUAGGAACUGAGGAUGGAGGUGGUGCUGGUAGUGAGUGAUUGUUUUUCAAUGUUUAUUUGGUGGUUCUAGUUGCAAAAACUUCAGAAAAAGCAAACUGGUUUUAACCUGGAGAGGUGCAAGAUGCACAAUCUUCUCUCUGGUAAUGGGGAAAUAAUUUGUUACUAUACUUACCUAAAUAUUUGACUACUAGUUUGUUUCAUCUCUUUAGUGUUGGGGUUGUUUUUUUAAAAUUUUCUUGUCUCACAGAAGGAGCUUAGGAAGCUGAAUUCUAGUUUCCCUGGUCUAAUUAAAGAUUUCAGUACUUUGAAAUUUUCCUCCACUUUAUAUAAUUCUCUUACUGAUGUCUAUAUGUCCUUUUCAGACUUCAUUUCUCUAUAACCACAACUUUAGAGGAUUGAUAAAUAUUCAAGUCUUUAAGACCUUCUUAAUCCAUAAUUGUUCUGCAUAUUUCCCUACAAUGCUAUCUUUAUUUUUCAUUGCUUUCAAGCUUCUGAUGAUAAUUUUGGGUCUUGGUUCUAAGCUCCAAAGCAGCUAGUGUGUUGGCCAAAGAUAUGAGGGAAAUAAUUUUGAUUCUGAAGAUGCCCAGUAAAUGGUUUUUUGGGGGAUACAUGUUUACAGGUGUUUUUCAGGAGGCUACUCCAAUACCCAGGCAUCUCACAGCAUUACAUGAUGCAAGUUUUCUUUAGUCCCAUCAAAAUCUUGCACUGUGAUGGAAGUUUAUUUAAAUGCAUGUUUAAAAAUACACCUAUCCACCCCUGCCCUGCUCUCCAAUUUCUGUUAUUUGCAACCCAUUUUCAGGGAAGUUUUCUGAACAAUUGCAACCAGAGUUGCAAUGGUAUCUGUGAAACAGACCCAGUCAGCAUCCUGCAACAAGGCAUCCAUUCAGCACCAGUGCAUCACAUAAAAGGUUUUGCCUAAACUGAGAA